GUCGACCUCAGUUCGGGCGAGAUCACCC
rnacentral:rRNA from 6 species